AUAAAAUCUUUGAGAAAGAUGAAAAAUUUAGAGGUUAAAAUGUCUAAAUUUAAUAGUUAUCCAAAGAUGUCUGACCCCGUAACGACUGAAGCUUAAGUGCUGAGAUAUAAGUUUAAUACACUUAUAUAAGAUGCCAACUCCUAUAUUACCCCUUUGGGUGGUGUAGGUUGAAGAUAUAGUCUGCGCCAUUAGUAAUAAUGGA
rnacentral:autocatalytically_spliced_intron from 2 species